rnacentral:rRNA from 1 species
GUAGGACUACCCGCUGAACUUAAGCAUAUCAAUAAGCGGAGGAAAAGAAACUAACAAGGAUUCCCCUAGUAACUGCGAGUGAAGCGGGAAAAGCUCAAAUUUAGAAUCUGGCAGCCUACGGUUGUCCGAGUUGUAGCCUAGAGAAGCGUUUUCUGCGUUGGACCAUGUACAAGUCCCUUGGAACAGGGCGUCAUAGAGGGUGAGAAUCCCGUACUUGACAUGGACUCCCAGGGCUAUGUGAUGCGCUCUCGAAGAGUCGGGUUGUUUGGGAAUGCAGCUCUAAAUGGGUGGUAAAUUCCAUCUAAAGCUAAAUAUUGGCGAGAGACCGAUAGCGAACAAGUACCGUGAGGGAAAGAUGAAAAGCACUUUGGAAAGAGAGUUAAACAGUACGUGAAAUUGUUGAAAGGGAAACGCUUGAAGUCAGUCGCGUCGGCCGGGACUCAGCCUUGAACGGUGCACUUCCCGGUGGACGGGCCAGCAUCAGUUUUGAUCGUCGGAAAAGGGUUUGAGGAAUGUGGCACCUUCGGGUGUGUUAUAGCCUCUUGCCGCACGCGACGGUUGGGACUGAGGAUCGCAGCUUCGGCUUAGGAUGCUGGCGUAAUGGCUUUAAACGACCCGUCUUGAAACACGGACC